rnacentral:lncRNA from 1 species
AAUUGACGAACCUUAUACCUGACCGUGAUUAUUGGACUGACUUAGCGGACUAAAAUCUUAAUUAAAACAAGGAUAUAUUUUCGUAGAUAUUGUGUUCUAACUUUUGCAGUGAGGUGAAGUGAAGUGAGGUGAUCUUCGUUCUAAGACCCAAGUCCUUGACGUAUUGACGGGGAGUUAAUAGUCAUUGCACCGUGAAGAAGAGGAAAGACCCGAGAUCUAAUACCUAAGACCCGAGACCGGCAAAAGGUGUAGAAGUACAAAGACUACACAAGGUUCUACAUCGACUUUGAGGAAGUAACGGGGAGUUACGUUCCGAGACAAGCUUUGUAGGUGUUUUUACAUUUAUAGUGAGGAGGUAACGGGAAGUUACGCUCCAAGAUAUAUAUUUGUAAAGGCUUCUCCGCCUACUUUAAAGG